rnacentral:rRNA from 1 species
AACGAACGCUGGCGGCAUGCCUAACACAUGCAAGUCGAACGAGACCUUCGGGUCUAGUGGCGCACGGGUGCGUAACGCGUGGGAACCUGCCCUUAGGUUCGGAAUAACUCCCCGAAAGGGGUGCUAAUACCGGAUAAUGUCUUCGGACCAAAGAUUUAUCGCCUUUGGAUGGGCCCGCGUUGGAUUAGCUAGUUGGUAGGGUAAAAGCCUACCAAGGCGACGAUCCAUAGCUGGUCUGAGAGGAUGAUCAGCCACACUGGGACUGAGACACGGCCCAGACUCCUACGGGAGAGAGCAGUGGGGAAUAUUAGACAAUGGGCGAAAACCUGAUCCAGCAAUGCCGCGUGAGUGAGGAAGGCCUUAGGGUUGUAAAGCUCUUUUACCCGGGAUGAUAAUGACAGUACCGGGAAAAUAAGCUCCGGCUAACUCCGUG